AUGGAAAAAAAAAGUUUAAAAAAAAAAAAAAUAAAGAAAACUUCCGAUACGGAUGUUGAUGAUUGUGCAGGUGACAUUAAUCAAAAGAUGGAGUGUUUAGAUAAUAAAAAAAAAAGUAAAGAAGAUGACCCCAUUGAUAUAGACAUUACAAUAUCGUUUAAUAAAUAUAACAUUCGAAAUAUGCCAAGUGGUGAUAUUUUCGAAAAAAAUGUCCCAAAUGUUACUGAAGAAAAAUUAAUGAAUGAAAACCUUUCACAUGUUUCACCUAAUUUGUUAAGUACAAAUGUUAAUGUCAAAGAGCUAAUUGAAAGUAAACAGAUAUUAGAAGAUAUAGAAACGUUUAAAGAAACGAAAAUAAAAAUGGAAGACAUUAUUUUAGAUAUAGAAAAUGAAAAAAAUAAUAACGACAGUGUCACUUUACAUAAUGAGAAUAAACAGGGGACGAGUGCGACAACUAGUAUAGAACAAAGAGAAACUGUUUCGUCCAAGUUAAAAAAGUUAAAGAAAAUUGAAAAAUACCAAAUAAGUAAUGACGAAAGAGAAAAACACAUGAAAAAAUAUAUGCUUAAGAUAGAAGAAAAAUACAAAAAAAAAAAAGAAGAAGAUUAUAAAAAAGAAUUAGAUGAGAAUAAAGAGGAAAUGAAAAAAUUCAAAGAAAAAGAAAAUACGUUUAUUAAUUAUUUAAAAAAUCCGAGAUUAAAUUUGUCAAAAACGGGAGACUUAAAUCAGUAUUUGUGUAUCUCUCCGACAUUUAUUCAUUUCAAAGAUAUAACAAAAGGAACAACACCAACGAAGGAUUUAUUGAUUACUAACAAAAGUAGUACAUUGCUUCAUAUUAUUAUAGUACCCCCAUCAAGUAAAACCUUUUUUAUAAAAGAGAUAAUAAAUUUACAAAAUAAAAAUGAGGAGAAUUCCAAAUAUAAUUUAAAUAAUCAGAUAGCUCCUGGACACUCAAUAAAAAUUAAAGUGUCUUAUAACGUGCUGACAUUAAACCAACAGACGGAUAGUAUAAAAUUGUUAUCAGAAGCUGGGAAUAUAACAAUUGACAUCAAAGUAUUUCAAUCCACACCAAAAAUUAGUUUUGAAAAAAUAUUAAAUUUCGGGCCUGUCCGUUCUAAUGAACAAAAACAAAAAUCAUUUUCUAUUAAGAACGAAGGAAACGCAAUGAAAAUACUUGUUAUACCUAAGAAGCUAUUUAUUUAUUACAAUAAAAAAAAGGAGAUAGAAAAAGAAGAGAAUAUAUUAAAUUUGUUAAUAAAACGAUCAAAGGAUACAAAAGAAAUAAAAAAAGUAACUGAAGAAGGGGAUAAUUAUUAUGAAUAUGAUAACAUCAAAAGCUAUUCAUAUAAUUUCCUUUUUUUAUAUAAACAGUUGAUUACUAAUUUUCAGAAUCUAUACUUUGAAAAAGUGUUACAAGAUUGUUAUUUUUAUGAUUUAAAAAAUUCAGAAGAAAAGGCUGUCAUGUUUGCUUUUAAGAGCAACAAAAUUGGAAUUUAUGAAAAAAAGUACUUAAUUGUAACAGACAUCGCUUGUGAUUUCAAAGACUUAGAUGAUAAUGAAAAAUCAAAAUUUUAUACCGAAAACGAACUGAACAUUUUUAACUUUUCCAUUAAAGCCAUAGUUGAGCCCUUACUGUUAAAUUUGAUAAAUAUAAAUAAAAACACAACAAGUGACUUUUAUACACGUCAAUUGCCAGAGCAUAUACAAAAAAAAGAGAAAAACAAGUUAAAUUAUUUUAAUUUUAGUAAUUCAUUAAAUUCAUUUAAAUUUCAAGACAUUCAAGUCAAUAGUGGCUACAGUUUUACCGAAUUGGAAAUUUUAAACAAUGGCUUAAUAAACUUAGAAAUAUCAUGCAAUAUAUAUAUCAAACAAUCAGAUGAGGAAAAACAGCCAAAAGAUUUUUUAUUACAAAAACAUGAAAAAGGUAGUUACUAUUAUAAAGAGCUGUUUGAUACAGAAUUAAAAACUUCACUAUAUGAUAAGUGGUCAGAAAGAGAAGAAAAUCAAGUUGAAGAAGGUGAUAUUGUAGAGAGAAGUGAAAAUGAAAAAAAUUUAGAAAAGAAAAGAGACAAAGCGGGAAAUCCCGUGGCAAAUGGUGAUGCAGUCACCGUUGCAAUAAAUAAAACAACCAAAAGGAAAAAAAAAAAAAAAAACUUAUAUGCCCAGUUUAUAUUUAUCCACAUAAUUUCAUUUUAUCAUACAAGAAAAGACAAAAAAUAUAUAUCAUUUUUAAACCUAAAGAAAAGCACAAAAAUUUUCAAAAUUAUUAUUUUGUACUACUGAUUAAAAACUUAUCAAGGGGGUCUGACAUGUAUAUAGAAGAUUUGAUAAAAAUAAAUGAAAACAUAAAAGAAACGAAUAUUGGAUU
ensembl:lncRNA